rnacentral:rRNA from 1 species
UAGCAUAUCAAUAAGCGGAGGAAAAGAAACCAACAGGGAUUGCCUCAGUAACGGCGAGUGAAGCGGCAAGAGCUCAAAUUUGAAAGCUGGCCCCUUCGGGGUCCGCGUUGUAAUUUGCAGAGGAUGCUUCGGGUGCAGCCCCCGUCUAAGUGCCCUGGAACGGGCCGUCAUAGAGGGUGAGAAUCCCGUCUGGGACGGGGUGUCUGCGUCCGUGUGAAGCUCCUUCGACGAGUCGAGUUGUUUGGGAAUGCAGCUCUAAAUGGGUGGUAAAUUUCAUCUAAAGCUAAAUACUGGCCGGAGACCGAUAGCGCACAAGUAGAGUGAUCGAAAGAUGAAAAGCACUUUGAAAAGAGAGUUAAACAGCACGUGAAAUUGUUGAAAGGGAAGCGUUUGCGACCAGACUCGCCCGCGGGGUUCAGCCGGCAUUCGUGCCGGUGUACUUCCCCGUGGGCGGGCCAGCGUCGGUUUGGGCGGCCGGUCAAAGGCCCUCGGAAUGUAUCACCUCUCGGGGUGUCUUAUAGCCGAGGGUGCAAUGCGGCCUGCCUGGACCGAGGAACGCGCUUCGGCUCGGACGCUGGCGUAAUGGUCGUAAAUGACCCGUCUUGAAACACGGACCAAGGAGUCUAACAUCUACGCGAGUGUUCGGGUGUCAAACCCGUACGCGCAGUGAAAGCGAACGGAGGUGGGAGCCCCCUCGCGGGGCGCACCAUCGACCGAUCCUGAUGUCUUCGGAUGGAUUUGAGUACGAGCGUAGCUGUGGGGACCCGAAAGAUGGUGAACUAUGCCUGAAUAGGGCGAAGCCAGAGGAAACUCUGGUGGAGGCUCGCAGCGGUUCUGACGUGCAAAUCGAUCGUCAAAUUUGGGUAUAGGGGCGAAAGACUAAUCGAACCAUCUAGUAGCUGGGUUCCUGCCGAG